AUAACAGUUGGAAACGACUGCUAAUACCGCAUAAGCGCACAGGGUCGCAUGGCCUGGUGUGAAAAACUCCGGUGGUAUGAGAUGGACCCGCGUCUGAUUAGCCAGUUGGUGGGGUAACGGUCUACCAAAGCGACGAUCAGUAGCCGACCUGAGAGGGUGACCGGCCACAUUGGGACUGAGACACGGCCCAAACUCCUACGGGAGGCAGCAGUGGGGAAUAUUGCACAAUGGGGGAAACCCUGAUGCAGCGACGCCGCGUGAGCGAAGAAGUAUUUCGGUAUGUAAAGCUCUAUCAGCAGGGAAGAAGAAAUGACGGUACCUGACUAAGAAGCACCGGCUAAAUACGUGCCAGCAGCCGCGGUAAUACGUAUGGUGCAAGCGUUAUCCGGAUUUACUGGGUGUAAAGGGAGCGCAGGCGGUACGGCAAGUCUGAUGUGAAAGCCCGGGGCUCAACCCCGGUACUGCAUUGGAAACUGUCGGACUAGAGUGUCGGAGGGGUAAGUGGAAUUCCUAGUGUAGCGGUGAAAUGCGUAGAUAUUAGGAGGAACACCAGUGGCGAAGGCGGCUUACUGGACGAUUACUGACGCUGAGGCUCGAAAGCGUGGGGAGCAAACAGGAUUAGAUACCCUGGUAGUCCACGCCGUAAAC
rnacentral:rRNA from 1 species